rnacentral:lncRNA from 10 species
ACAUAGUUGUUUAUUGUCAUUUUCAAGUAUUACCUGAUGUACACAACUGUAUCUGCUAUACUUCCAUACAACUGGCAGCACAGUAGAUAUGUUUAUACCAAUAUCACCACAAACACAAUACAUUGCCCUGCAACAUUAGAAGAGCUAAGGCACCUCUAGGAGAUAUGAAUUUUUCAGCUCCAUUUUAAUUUUCUGGGACCACCAUGAUAUAUGCACCAUUGUUGACUGAAAGUCGUUCUUCAGGUGUGACUGUAGUGACUUCCAAUGAUAAUGGUUUUAUCCCUGCUUCUUCCUAGGUGCCUCAGGAUAAAAAUCAAGUCUCUACCAAUUUCUGGAUAAUCCCUAAUAAAAACAGAAUUGUAAUUCUGUUACACCUUAGAUCACAUUUUUACCAGUUUCACAUCAGACCUCAAAAUCAUGGCAUCUCUAUUAUUUGUGAUGGGCUGAGGAUAAGAGGAGUGUGUUCAAAUUCACCUUAUUCUAACAAAAAGGCAAUUAAGCUCAAAGGAAAGCUGAUUUCUAACUACAAAUGUUCUUAGUUCUUUUGCAAGAUAACAUUUUUGUAUCUGCUAAAUUCCAGAGAGAUUUUUAUUCCACAAUUAGAUUUUAACAUCAAUAAAAUCUUA